AAUAGAUACCCCGGUAGUCCACGCCGUAAACGAUGAGUGCUAGGUGUUGGGGGGGACCCCCCUCAGUGCCGCAGGUAACCCAAUAAGCACUCCGCCUGGGGAGUACGGUCGCAAGACUGAAACUCAAAGGAAUUGACGGGGGCCCGCACAAGCGGUGGAGCAUGUGGUUUAAUUCGAAGCAACGCGAAGAACCUUACCAGGGCUUGACAUCCCGCUGACCGGUGUAGAGAUAUGCCUUUCCCCUUCGGGGGACAGCGGUGACAGGUGGUGCAUGGUUGUCGUCAGCUCGUGUCGUGAGAUGUUGGGUUAAGUCCCGCAACGAGCGCAACCCUUAUAGUUAGUUGGAUUUUUCUAACUAGACUGCCUCGGUAACGGGGAGGAAGGAGGGGAUGAUGUCAGGUCCGUAUACCCUUACACCUGGGGCUAGAAACGCGCUACAAUGGCCGGUACAAUGGGCAGCCAAAUCGCAAGAUGGAGCUAAUCCCACCAAAGCCGGUCUCAGUUCGGAUUGGAGGCUGAAAUUCGCCUCCAUGAAGCCGGAAUCGCUAGUAACCGUAGGUC
rnacentral:rRNA from 1 species